AAAGCACUCUACGUUAAUAUUUUUCCUGAUUAGUGUAUUAAUUACUGCUAUUGUGUUAGCCAAUUAUUUGUAAUACUACUUCAUGUCUUUAUAGCUCAAAAUGCUGAAUUCUGAAAUAAUUUGUGCUUGAUUCCAGUGGCAGCUUGUUGUCUGGGAAUGACAUUUUCAGGUAUAGCGUUCCUUGCAGGCUCUCAUCUAUUGCCACCUGCCUAAAUCUGACAGUUGAGCACCAGCUGGGAGUUAUGACCCGGAGAAGCAUAAAAGGGCUGGAGAGAGACAAAAUGAUCCAUCAAGUCCUACUUGUUUUCAGCAAUUGUGUGAAAAUCAGCUCAGAACUUCUGUUUGUUUGUUCCUGUGGAUGCUCUCAGUGUUUGGAGACCAGGGCCUCCAUGGAGAAGGAGGGGAAUGCCAAAGCAGGGAAGGCUUGUAAUUUAACCCACUGGCAUGCGUAAGAUCCAAAGAGCAGGAAAAACUUUCUUCCUUUCAGCAAUGCAUAGAAAAUAAGCUGCCUUUUAGGAGACAAAAUUGUAGUUUAAUGAAGUCACGGGUGGAAGUUACUGUCUGCAUCUUGCUACGCUUGCAGAAGAGCACUGAGGCACAUCUUGUGGACUGCAAGACUGGGAAGGAAGAGGUGAUAGCAGUGACAGUGUACGUAACAAGCCGAGAGAAGGGGCCCUACCAGUGAUGAUGGAUAUAGACACUCAGACCAUGUGCUCCACCAGGAAACAAACUGUCAGGAUGGCAAUGCAGCCUCAUGGAUAUGAAAACCCAAUACCGUGAUACUGUGAGUAUUGCUUUCACUGAAGA